rnacentral:rRNA from 1 species
CAGUCGCCGCGGGAAUACGAAGGGUGCAAGCGUUACUCGGAAUUACUGGGCGUAAAGCGUGCGUAGGUGGUGGUUUAAGUCCGUUGUGGAAGCCCUGGGCUCAACCUGGGAAUUGCAGUGGAUACUGGAUCACUAGAGUGUGGUAGAGGAUAGUGGAAUUUCCGGCGUAGCAGUGAAAUGCGUAGAGAUCGGAAGGAACAUCUGUGGCGAAGGCGACUAUCUGGGCCAACACUGACACUGAGGCACGAAGGCGUGGGGAGCAAACAGGAUUAGAUACCCGGGUAGUCCCUGUCUCUUAUAC